CUUUGUCCUUCCACUUCUAAUGUCAAUAUUUAGAAGCCUUAAUUGCGUUGUGUAAAUUGAAUCCAUUCUCAUUGAGCAUAAUUACAAUAUUUUCAGGACCAUUCUCAGUUGCUUAACAAUUUUUGCUUAACAGUAUAUCAGAAAGGUGUAAUAAACCAAAACAAGGAUCUUGGAUUGAAAUGAUUGUAUGUAGAAUCAGAUGUUAUUUGGUGGUUUUACCAACUCUAAAUUGUGCUUAAUAUUUAAAUCUCUGUGAUUUGGUUAUGCUUUAUAAUGUGUAUCACUUCCUGUCUUCCUGAUCUGCGCAGUUUAGAUUUAUGUUUAAAUUUAGCGAUAAGUGUGGUGUUUUUUUUUUUUUAUGUCCAGGUAUUUUACAUAUAAAAACUGCUGCUUUCAACCUUUUCUCAGAGUUCUCUUGAUAGAUUAUUGGUUUGAUUUGUGGUUGGUUGGAAACAAAAGGAUAAGUGUAGUAUUCUUUGUCACAGAGUUAUUCUAUGAAAGCCUUUGUGCAGCCAAAAAAAAAAUGUAGCAGGCCUAUUAAUUCUAGUUGAUAGAAGUGUGAUUGACCAACAUGAUAUAUAAGCUGAUAUAAGUAUCCACUUGAACAUUAAUAUUUCGCUAGAUAAGACGGGAGUAAAUAUUUUAUGCUUCUAUACUUUAUGUUGUUAUUGGUUAAGGCUUUGUAGAUAAUUUGAAUGUCGUAAAUUAUACAGAAUAUUUAUUUCCUUCUGUCACAUUACCUGCUGGCCAAACUUUUGUUGUACUUGUAGGCGCCUUUGCAAGUACCGCUUUUUACGAUGGCUGUUUGUCACUGUGUACGCAGUAUGAUGCUUUUGAUAUUGGUUUUAUAACAACGGAACAUUACCUGCUGGCCAUACUUUUGUUGUACUUGUAGGCGCCUUUGCCAGUACUGCUUUUGACAAUGGCUGAUUGUCACUGUGUACUGUUUUUGCAGUAUGAUGCUAUUGAUAUUGGUUUUAUAACAACGGAUGACUUUACAAAAUGCGGAUAUUUUUGGAAGCAACUUAUCCAGCUGUUGCAAAGAGAUUACAUAGUGAUUGGAUUGGAUGAGUGACGGCGCAGUUCAUGUUGUUACUGGCUUCCUUGGAAAGGGCUGGAGAUCUCGUGCAGUGACUACAUUGGAUAGGGGUGGUAGUGAUUUGACAGCAACCACUAUUGGUAAAGCAUUGGGGUUGCGAGAAAUUCAGGUUACAUCCUGAAUGCAUAUAUGUCGAGAGUUGUUGAUAGAUUUGCAUGAUCAUUAUGAAAAUGUGAACAUAGACAGAACAGAAGUAGGAAGAAAAUGGUGUGUGACAAAGUGUUAUACUAAGGGGUUCAAAUUCUUUAAAUAUUUUAAUAAGCUUCAAGAUUUUGUAUGUACAUGACUCCCAUAUGAUGAUUGUAGAAGAAAAAAAAAUGAUGAUUGUAGGCAACAUAUUUAAGAACCUUUUUCUCGAUC